UAUCAAUUGUACCUAGCUUAAUUAAAUAACCUCUUAUAACACAUUUAUAUGCAUUCCAAACCAUCGGAAGUGACACUUCACCCCCCUCAUUUUCCUGAAAAAAGCUUUCUGUCAUCUCCCCUAUAUAUUCUCUAUUUUCCUUACUGGAGAGAAUAUUAUCAUUUAAUCUCCAAUCAGUUCUUCUUGCCCUAUUAUUCACUAUAUCCAACUCCAAGAUCAUGGCAUUAUGAUCGGAC